AAGGAUAUUAUACGGAAUAUAAGACCUUGCGGUCUUAUAGACAGGUGCGUUUAGAUCUUGUUUAGUUUUGAAGGAUCAUUCCUUCAGACAUAGGAGCACCUGCUAAAUGCGCCACAUCCUGUGGCAACGCAUGUGUUAGCACCUCCUGUGCGUUGUUCUUUGAAAACUAGAUAACAGUAGACAUCACAUUCAAUUAGUAAGCAAGAUAUCACGUAGUGAUUCUUUUUAAC
rnacentral:misc_RNA from 1 species